rnacentral:lncRNA from 1 species
GUUCUGAUUUCCGAUACGAUCAAAUGUCUGCAGAUCUUAUAUAAUGCAAUUGUCUUCAAUUUCAAAGCUGGCAAGAGGAUAAAAAAGGAGAUAAACCAAAAUCCUUAAAUCAAAGACGUACCGACAACACCAUGAUUCAACAUGCCACAAACCAUUAUACACUAUACACUGGAAAAUAUACAAGUUUGAACACGACUCCUAUAAUAAAUCGAAACUAAGCCAGGAAUAAAUUCGGAAGCAAUUUUUAUAUAGAUCAUUAUUCAUAUUCGAAAACACUAGCACCAUAAACUUUAUAUGAGAUGACAUUAUACAUAUCAUCUUCUGCAUAUUCACAAUCGUUUGGUCAUUUCUCUACCAGACGAUUCUGUUUAGGGUGCAAUAAUUUGUCCUCAAUGUUAAUGUACUGACUCAGACCAAACCAGAUUGUCAAAUAUAACCAUGAAGAG